rfam:Oceanobacillus picturae, S1, WGS project CCAX01000000 data, contig: 000002
CGGAACGACAAAGCGCCAGGACUAUUUUCCGAACGGUGAGGAAUAAUAGUUGACGAGGACGGAGGUUAUCGAUAUUUCGGCGGAUGCCUCCCGGUUGUACAUCCCAAUCGUUAUGCUUUUUCUUAAAACAAUGAGGUAACUUAUUGGACAAAGGAAAAAGGAACAGGAUGA